GUUUAUUUUUGCUUUAAUCUUGUCAUGGGUAAAUUUUUAGCUGUUCAUUUUUAUACACCACCACAGGAUCAGAGAUAGCAUGAACACAUUAGUCUCUACAAGGCUAAUUCUACCCGAGCACCCAUCAAAGCGACCCAAAUGACACGCCAUGCAUCUUGAGUGACUGUGCACUGCCAUAUACUCUGAGCUCUACUACAGAAUGCUGAGACAUUAUCAAAUAGAUUUCAAUUCUGUGACCUGAACUGCAGUUGUGUAAGUGCUAUAAAUCAAAAUCAUUUGCUUUAGUAAUUGAAGAGUAAACUGAAAGACAAUAUUGUAGAUGUUAAUGUUUCAAUGUGGACAUGUAAUAAAUUAAAAAGAACAAACACUGCUUUCUAGAAUAGAAGCAAAAGUUAUGAGUUUUCUCCAUGGUCAUAUUUUAUUCAUUAUUCUACUUUCUGCACACUGUAUAUGCUUGAGAUAAAACAAUAACCAAGAUGAUAAAUACAUAAAGACUGUUAGUUGUAGUCUGGGAGCCUAAAUGAGAGGAGUAUUCUCGCUUAAUGUCCCAUGGUUCUAGCUUUUCUCCACACAGCAGGAUUUAGACGUUUUCAUUACUACACGAAGAAGUCAUCAUUUGUCCUAAGAUAGACAAAUGGGAAUUUAAAACUUAUACAAAAGACAUAUUUUUCUUGGGUUAGAGAUGUCUAAUACAUCAUUUCUACAGGAUUAAUUUUUUUAAUUAUAUGAGCAGCCUGACCCAUUGCAUUAUAUGGAUUAGAAAACUCUCUAAGAAGCAAGAAUAUCAAAUCACUCUGUGGUUGGUUUUUGUGAAAUUGUCUGUCGUAAAUUGAGUACUCACUAGUAUUCAUGUUGGCAUUUGCAAAAUUACCACUAUGUUAAAACUUGCUCCCAGUUGUACCUGUGACUAUGUUUAUCUGACUUCAGUUUUACUGUCUACGAUUUGGAACGUGACUGGAAUCUAGGACAGUAAAGGUGUUGAGGACAGCAAUAAAUGAGAUCUCAUGUAUCCAUUUUCAUCAGAAAAAAAUGGAAUAGGGACUGCAAUUUUACUAACUUCACAAAUAGCUAAGAAUGUUCAUUUUCUCACUUCAAUGUUAUCUCCUUCACUAAGAGCGUAAGUACAGAAAGCAUAAUUCAUGAUGUAAUAAACUAUAACACCUUUUCUUAAUUUAAAAUAUUUCGUUUUAUAUUACUCUCCCUUGAUUUGGGCUUCUGUAUUUUCUUAAAAAUGCUUUCCUUUACAUUCUAAUUUUGACCACACUGGAAACUGAUUUUACAAUUUUUUAUUAAAAAGUGUUCCAAACCAUUUUUCUUAAAUGUGAUUCUGCCCGUGCCAUCAGUCCUACAAAAGGAAGCUUUAAAAUUAAAAUGCUGUCUUCAUUAACAAAUAAGCAAAGCAUUAACCAAUACUCUAAGAGACAAGCCCAUUUUUUGAAUGGUGAAAAGUGGUAACAACUGCCUUUUCUUGAUCUAUGUGCAGGUGUCAGAAAUUACUAUUAAACACAACCUAUAUAUAGUAAAAAUCUGAUAAUCCACAUUUCUUAUAAGCUACUUUUUACAUUUUUAAUGUCUGGGUAUCCUAAAGGGGUUUUUCCCUGAUACUUGACUAUUACAUCCGCCUUUGCUUCUGCAUGAACACGUUUUACAUCGUGAAUUAUCUAAUUAAUAUAGAAAUAUUUUGAGAUAAUGCAUGAUAUCAUAUUUAAUUUAUGAACCGCCUCAUGACAAAAGGUAAUGAGAGCUGAUACAAUCCCUCUCCUGAAGUGGCAGCGAGUAACCCAGGCACGCUUUGCUCUGGGUCACUCAACCCUCUCUCCACCACAAUCUGCCACCAGUGCCUUCACAGUAAUCUGCUUGUGCUCAAUGUCCUCAGAUGUUUUUGAGAUUAACUUGGAUUUGGCAAAUGUUAGGUGGGAUUUUUGUGUUUAAAUAAUGCAAGGUUAUAGGACUUCAAGAAUAAAUGAAACCACAUCUCUAAAUACAAUCUAUACCUUUGCUGCAUGCUUGCUUUUUGGUGGAGCUUUGAACAGGGAAACUGUCUGUGAUGAUUUGUUAAAAUGAAUAGUUGCUACAUGCUCUCCUCAAAGUCCUUAACUUGGAUUUAUUAAAGCAGUUGUACAUAUGAUGCUGUGGUUAUUACUAAACACAUAAAAAUUAUCAAUAAUCAACCCUAGCCUCAACAGUUUGCUGUUCAACAACAGUGGUAAAAAUAACAAAUAGACAAAGCAUUAACAUUACUAAGGAUCAGCAAACAAAUUUACAUAUUAGAAAAAAUGUUUAGAAAUGCAUCUAUUGGAAGCUUCAUGGUAUCUACUGCCCCCUGCCCUUUGCAAUCCGCCACCUAGCCUAAGAGAUCUUUUAGUUUUUUAAAAUAUUUUGGAUAAUGUGCAGAGGAUGAGCUAUUCCUAAAUAUUGGAUGUAAUUUUAAGUUAAUGACUUUUGCCUUAAUUCACUCCGUACCAUGUUUUCGACUAGAUUUCUUUCAUCCAUGACUUUGGGGUAAUCUCUCAUAGCUUCCCAAACCUAUUUCUGCAGCCAAGAGUAACUACUAUGGAACUACAGGAAGGCCUCACAUUUUAGGCAAGCAAUAACGUGCCAAACUUAACUAUGUACAUAAAACAUGAAAGCUGGGAUGAUAUGGGACAGGAGUUUUAGAAGGUAUGAGCUCUAAUUGAUUUCAAAUUAUUUCACUGAAUCCAGAGAGGACAAU
rnacentral:lncRNA from 1 species